AGAACACAGUGAUUUGCCAGCAGUGCUACUUGGCCAGGUGUGUCCCCAGCCAUGGUCAAGCGGUGUGCGAUGUGGAGGUCCGUCGCAAUGGCAUGAGGCAAGCAUUCAUGGAGCAGCAGGGGAAGAUAGAGGAGCGGAUGUGGGCCAUCAGUGAAACCUUGUCACGAGCAAUGGCGAAUAAACGGCAGGCAGAGAAGAGUUUCC